CGGCGAGGGGGGAGCCUGCUUCCACAUUGUUAAUUACUCGCUCUAAAAUUCGUGACAAAAUUUCAAAGGAAGAGGGAUAAACAGUGUCUGUAAGGCACGAGGAGGGGAUCUGUUAACAGAAAGAGGUGAAGCUGAGGCAUAUUGGCAUCAGUAUAUAGCAUUUUGAAAGAAAUUUUGGGGUACUGGACAAGUUAUAUCUAUUAUAUGUGAAGAGCCCUAUCCAUAAAGAAGUUUCAAACAGACAUCUCUGAACUGCUUUUAGAAGAGGGCAAAAGUGGUAGAGGCCUGGACAAGAUUUUCUAUGCUGCUCUUCUCUACGAGGAUGAAAGUAUGAAUUAUGUUUAGGGAACCUAAGGGAAGUCAUGUAGAUAUUUUAAAACAGACAGAGAACAAAUGUAAAAAUGUAAACAUUGAAAAACUAGAAUUUAAAUAGAUCAUGUUGCAGAAAAGGGCAUUUUUCAUAAAUAGAUUGCUUUGACUUGAAUUUUAAGUUAUGUCUACCCAUGUUAACCAUUCCUAAAAGGUAUAUUCUUUCUCUUGGUCUUUUUUUUUUUUUUUUUUUCUACAGCAGAGUUGCAUCACCUAGGCAGAUAUAUCUAUCAGUAUGUAAUUGCAUUGUAAAAGCUUAGGCAGCUUCUCCAAGUCAACAAUUCAGUUUUCUGGAUGACCUAUUGUCUCCAUCAAAAGUUAAAAAAAAAUUAAAAAAAAAGUCUUUGUGCCUUUGGUGUUGGAAGUCUGUGAGAAAUUAAAUCUGUGACAACUUAAUACUGCUUUCUGGCCUGCUAAUGAAGCACCCACACGUCUUCUGAAGUGCUGACAAAGCAGAUGGACUGAUGUUAGUCCCUGUGGCCACACUGGGAAUCAAGUUGCCAAUUGUGUCCAGUUACAAAAUUGAAUCAUCCUUUUUCUUUUUCUCCCCUUUUUGGAGAAAAGAAUGUGUAAGAGGAUAUUCAUCAUCUGGAAACUACCUAGUGAUGUUGUAUUUGUCCUUUUUCCUUUUCCAUAUUUAGCUUAAAAACAGUGAAUUAAUUUUACUAUUUUUUAGCAAGCACAUGCCUUCAGAUGAACCAGUAUAUAACUUGAUGGCCAAAUUCCAAUAAACUUUUUUUUUUGUGAUGUUUUGUGGUUAAAACAUUAGAUGCUGAAUAUAUAAUGACUUCAAUAAAGAAUUAAUUGGAAAUACAAAGAUGAUUUAUCUCUAGGUGGGGCAGCAUGGUUCUCUGUUACUUGCCUUCAUUUUGAUUAUCAUUUUGAGGACACAGCAUUAGGUGUGUCUCUAAAAUGUUAUGUAAAUGAAACUGCCACAAAACAUUCAGAGACACUGGAAAUAAUUUGUCUAAAAACUGUGUAUUAGUGUUCAGACAGACCUUGGCACAGACUAAAAGCAUGCCGGCAUGCAUUCUCCCGAACAAUUCCUGGGCACAGUUUGGGAGUUAGUGACACUGAGUCAGGAACCAUUCCCAAUGGGCAGUAGAUGCAUGUGUCUAUCCUGUUGUAAUGAAUUAAGGAGUUUAGUAAUGUAGGCAUGAAACAUUAUGUGGCUAUUAGCCUCAAUGCCAGACAACAUUCCCAGGCAUACAUAUAACCUUUUAGUUUAUAGGUAGCCGAUGAGUAUGUUGGCUGAGAUGCACUCAGUAUCUGAGGAAUGGAAAAGUUCUGCUUUCUUUUAAAGGCCUUUUUAGAGGCCUAAGCCCAAGAAGCUCUUUUAACAUACAUGAUUUAGAUAAUCAUCUGUCUGUCUUAAAUCUUACUUUUACUGGCAAGUUCAUUAAAAAGGGAGUGGCAAGGCAUUUUAUGCAUGAUAAGACGUUCUCAUGUGUCUUUAAUCUAUACAAGAGUGGCUGUUGGCUUGUGCUGAAUUGUCCUUUAGGCCAAUUUUUAACUUUUGUCCUUUGCCAGAAGAUGAAUGUCCACGUUGACUUGGUAGCCCAUGACAGCAGUAUUGAUUUACCUUUACACCUUAAAAAGUGAAAAAAACAACAACAAAAAUAAUGUUUUUAUCCUUGUCUCUCAAAAUAAUCCAUGUUAGCCUUCACAGCUCCUAUGAAAUUGCACAGAAUUUGUUAUAUAACUGACACCCAGUUAUGUCUCUAUUAUAAAACAUUGCAUUGAGUUGCUUUCCCAGUGCAUGUCCAAAAAGAGACUUUUGAGAGAAUAAAGUUAUGAGGUCCAGGGUUUUGGUUCUGUUUACUUUUUUAAGAGAGAAAAAUAAAAGAAAAAAGAAUUUGUAGGAAUCAGUACCUGCUUCCUUUCUGAAGUUCAUCUAUGGUGAACUGUAUCCACAGAAAUGUCUCUCAGGAGCCUCUUCAGGUUUCGGAUUUUUUUCUAAGACAAUGUAUGAUAACUGAUCAUCCUUACAAAAAUAACUGUUACUUGUUCUGUUCUAGUGGCCCUUAUACAACAAUACCAGGCAAGGCGACAAGGCUACUUGU